rnacentral:rRNA from 1 species
GGAUUAGAUACCCUGGUAGUCCACGCCGUAAACGAUGUCAACUAGCCGUUGGUAGGGUUACCUAUUAGUGGCGCAGCUAACGCGAUAAGUUGACCGCCUGGGGAGUACGGUCGCAAGAUUAAAACUCAAAGGAAUUGACGGGGGCCCGCACAAGCGGUGGAGCAUGUGGUUUAAUUCGAUGCAACGCGAAGAACCUUACCUACCCUUGACAUUGACAGAACCCUGUAGAGAUACGGGGGUGCCUUCGGGCCUGGAAAACAGGUGCUGCAUGGCUGUCGUCAGCUCGUGCUG